AAGGAGAGGACCUUGGAAUGGACAACUUUCAACGUCGCUUUAAAAUCAGCAGAAAGAUUGAGCGACGGAAGUGUCAGUGCUUGCUCCAAUUUCGCAUUCAAAUGCUCAAGCUUAUCCUUAUGCUUGGCAGCACUAGCCUUACCGAUAUCCAUAUCCAUGAAGGACACAUACUCAAAUAUCGACUGCUUGAGGAACUUCAU
rnacentral:lncRNA from 1 species